rnacentral:rRNA from 1 species
UACGUAGGCAGCGAGCGUUGUUCGGAGUUACUGGGCGUAAAGAGUGCGUAGGCGGUUGGCUAAGUUUGGUGUGAAAUCUCCCGGCUCAACUGGGAGGGUGCGCCGAAAACUGGCUGGCUAGAGUGUGGCAGAGGGAGGUGGAAUUCCACGUGUAGCAGUGAAAUGCGUAGAGAUGUGGAGGAACACCGAUGGCGAAGGCAGCCUCCUGGGCCAGCACUGACGCUCAUGCACGAAAGCGUGGGGAGCAAACAGG